UCCAAAAAUGAUCCCCUUUACUUUAAAGUAUAUCCACAGACACCCACAGAAAACCUAUUACCUGAUAUUUGGGGAGCCUUUCAUCAAAUUUGGUGAUUCAGUUGUCUUCAUAGAAAAGAACGUCAAAAGUUUUAGAACGCUGACAGAGUAGCUUCAUAUGACUCCUUCAGUGCCUCCUUUCCUGGAAAAUAUGAAAUGGACAAAGGGCUUGAGCAGAAAUAAAGUUAGACCCAGAACCUAAUGAGGGGAGGGGGCAUAUUUCUUAACAUGCUGAUGGAUGAAUGGGAAAUUUAAAACUUGAGUGUUGUAAAAGCUAAUGCUUUUAGGGCCGGGCGCGGUGGCUCAAGCCUGUAAUCCCAGCACUUUGGGAGGCCGAGGCGGGUGGAUCACGAGGUCAAGAGAUCAAGACCAUCCUGGCCAACAUGGUGAAACCCUGUCACUACUAAAAAUUCAAAAAUUAGCUGGGCUUGGUGGCAGGCACCUGUAAUCCCAGCUACUCAGGAGGCUGAGGCAAGAGAAUCGCUUGAACCCGGGAGGCGGGGGUUGCAGUAAGCCAAGACCAUGCAGCUUGUGGGGCUGCAUUUCAGUCUGGGCAACAAGAGUGAAACUCCAUCUCAAAAAAAAAAAAAAAAGAAAGGAUAAAUGCUUGACUAUUCACAAUAGCAAAGACAUGAAAUCAAGCUAAAUGCCCAUAAUAAUAGAAUGGAUAAAGAAAAUAUGAUACAUAUACACCAUGGAAUACUAUGCAGCCAUAAAAAGGAAUGAUAUCAUGCCUUUGCAGUGACAUGGAUGAAGUUUGAAGCUAUUAUUAUCCUCAGCCAGCUAACACAGAAACAGAAAAACAAAGACCCCAUGUUCUCACUGAUAAGUGGCAGCUGAAUGAUAAGAACACAUGGACAUAAUGGGGAACAACACACACUAGGGCCUGUUGAAGGGGGUUAUGUGGGAGGGAGAGCAUCAGGAAGAAUAGCUGAUGAAUGCUGGGCUUAAUACUUAGAUGGGACGAUGUGUAGUAAACUACUAUGGCAUACGUUUAUCUAUGUGACAAACCUGCAUAUCUUGAACAUGUAUCCCUGAGCUUAAAAUAAAAGUUGAAACAAAAAACUAUUAUUUGUGAAUAAAGUUAUACCUUUUUCAUUAAAAAAAAAGGAAUAAAUGGUUGGUUUCUGUCCAAUUCAGUAAAGAAGUAAAGUGUAUUUUUUGUUCUUUUUAUUUUUUUUGUUGUUGUUGUUGACCAUAGCAAGGACAUAAAGUGUACUUAUGUCAUAAUGUUGGCAGUUAUUUUUGUUUUGUUUAUACUGAGAAAAAACUAAAGUGAAACAAUGAAGAUGUAUGUAGGAUCUUUACUUGUUCAAUGAUGUAAGCAACUUCUUUGCUGAAUCACAUGAUAUUUUUUAGUUUUCAAAUACUAAAAUAUUUCGUCAAUGGGAGGGGGCUGGCUAUUCACAAUGUGACAGUUGCAGAUAGAAUAUAUUUUGUUUUUUUGUUUUUUUUUUGAGACGGAGUUUUGCUCUUGUUACCCAGGCUGAAGUGCAAUGGCGGAUCUCGGCUCACCACAACCUCUGCCUCCUGGGUUCAGGCAAUUCUCCUGCCUCAGCCUCCUGAGUAGCUGGGAUUACAGGCACGUGCCACCAUGCCCAGCUAAUUUUUUGUAUCUUUAGUAGAGACGGGGUUUCACCAUGUUGACCAGGAUGGUCUCGAUCUCUUGACCUCGUGAUCCACCCGCCUCGGCUUCCCAAAGUGCUGGGAUUACAGGCUUGAGCCACCGCGCCCGGCCUCACUGUUUUUUUAAACGUUUGCCAUUCAAUAUUCAUUUUCACUGUUUAAGGAAAACGUUAAGACUUAGCGCCCACAGCAAAGAGCAGGUAUUAAAAAUCGAAUGAGUUUCCAAAAGAAAAAAACAAAGUUACACCUCGAUACAAAUAAAACUUGGCCAAGGUGUGGCCCACCCCUUUCUGUUCCACUGUUUUCAAAUAAGCCACCUCUGCCUUCGUGGACUGCGAGCUAGUGGCUCCGGGUUGUGACACCACUACAUCCCAGCUUCAAAUCUCCCCUUGCCGGCCUUCUGGGGGCAAAUAAUAAAAUUAGCAUCCUAAACUACAAGUCGUGAGACUGCUCAGGAACAAUCUUAAUUUGCA
ensembl:lncRNA